rnacentral:rRNA from 1 species
GGAGGAUUCGGCUACUGCUAUACGCGUGCACGUCGAACGAUGAACCACUUCAGUGAGGAUGAGAUGGCGAACGGGUGAGUAACACGUGGGCAAUCUGCCCUGCGCUCUGGGACAAGCCCUGGAAACGGGGUCUAAUACCGGAUACUGAUCAUCUUGGGCAUCCUUGGUGAUCGAAAGCUCCGGCGGUGCACGAUGAGCCCGCGGCCUAUCAGCUUGUUGGUGAGGUAACGGCUCACCAAGGCGACAACAGGUAGCCGGCCUGAGAGGGCGACCGGCCACACUGGGACUGAGACACGGCCCAGACUCCUACAGGAGGCAGCAGUGGGGAAUAUUGCACAAUGGGCGCAAGCCUGAUGCAGCGACGCCGCGUGAGGGAUGACAGCCUUCGGGUUGUAAACCUCUUUCAGCAGGGAAGAAACGCACGUGACAGUACCUGCGCAAAAAACGCCGGCUAACUACGUGCCAGCAGCCGCGGUAAUACGUAUGGCGCGAGCGUUGUCCGGAAUUAUUGUGCGUAAAGAGCUCGUAUGCGGCUUGUCUCGUCGGUUGUGAAAGCCCGGGGCUUAACCCCGGGUCUGCACUCGAUACGGGCAGGCUAUAGUUCGGUAGGGGAGAUCGGAAUUCCUGGUGUAUCGGUGAAAUGCGCACAUAUCACGAGGAACACCGGUGGCGAAAGCGGAUCUCUGGGCCGAUACUGACGCUGAGGAGCGAAAGCGUGGGGAGCGAACAGGAUUAGAUACCCUGGGAGUCCACGCCGUAAACGGUGGGCACUAUGUGUGGGCGACAUUCCACGUCGUCCGUGCCGCAGCUAACGCAUUAUGUGCCCCGCCUGGGGAGUACAGCCGCAAGGCUAUAACUCUCAGGAAUUGACGGGGGCCCGCACAAGCGGCGGAGCAUGUGGCUUAAUUCUACGCAACGCGAAGAACCUUACCAAGGCUUGACAUACACCGGAAAGCGUCACAGAUGGUGCCCCCCUUGUGGUCGGUGUACAGGUGGUGCAUGGCUGUCUCCGCUCUCGUCGUGAGAUGUUGUGGUUAAUCCCGCACGAGCGCACCCUUGUCCGUGUGCCACAGGCCCUUGUGUGCUGGGGAUCUCGGAGACCCCCGGUCACUCCGAAGAAAGGGGGGAGAAAUCAAGUAUCUUGCCCCUUUUUUUUGGGUGCCCCCUGCUCAAUGGCCGGAAAUGAGUGGGAAACCCCGAGGGGAGGAAUUCAAAACCGGCCCCCUUUCGAUUAGGGUCGCACCCCCCCCCAAAGCGGAGCCUUAAAUCCAAAAAAAUUUUGGGGGAAAAUUCCCGGCUUUUAACCCCCCCCCCCCAAAAUGGAACCCACCGGGCAACCCCUUUGGGGA